rnacentral:rRNA from 1 species
GAUGAACGCUGGCGGCGUGCCUAAUACAUGCGAGUCGAGCGAACAGAUGAGGAGCUUGCUCCUCUGACGUUAGCGGCGGACGGGUGAGUAACACGUGGAUAACCUACCUAUAAGACUGGGAUAACUUCGGGAAACCGGAGCUAAUACCGGAUAAUAUAUUGAACCGCAUGGUUCAAUAGCGAAAGACGGUUUUGCUGUCACUUAUAGAUGGAUCCGCGCCGCAUUAGCUAGUUGGUAAGGUAACGGCUUACCAAGGCAACGAUGCGUACCCGACGUGAGAGGAUGAUCGGCCAAACUGGAACAAAGACACGGUCCAGACUCCUACGGGAGGCAGCAGUAGGGAAUCUUCCGCAAUGGGCGAAAGCCUGACGGAGCAACGCCGCGUCAGUGAUGAAGGUCUUCGGAUCGUAAAACUCUGUUAUUAGGGAAGAACAAAUGUGUAAGUAACUAUGCACGUCUUGACGGUACCUAAUCAGAAAGCCACGGCUAACUACGUG